GGGGUUUAAUCAUGAAUCCAUUGAUUCUUCUCUUUAAAACUUUUUCCUUACCGCUUUUAUUUGGAUAUAGAGUUGAGGGGAUUUAGCGUUUAUUUCACAAC